rnacentral:rRNA from 1 species
AUUGAACGCUGGCGGCAGGCCUAACACAUGCAAGUCGAACGAGUGGCGGACGGGUGAGCAAUGUAUGGGAAACUGCCUGAUGGAGGGGGAUAACUACUGGAAACGGUAGCUAAUACCGCAUACCAUCAGAUGUGCCCAUAUGGGUUUAGCUAGCUGGUGGGGUAACGGUUCACCAAGGCGACGAUCCCUAGCUGGUCUGAGAGGAUGACCAGCCACACUGGAACUGAGACACGGUCCAGACUCCUACGGGAGGCAGCAGUGGGGAAUAUUGCACAAUGGGCGCAAGCCUGAUGCAGCCAUGCCGCGUGUAUGAAGAAGGCCGUCGGGUUGUAAAGUACUUUCAGCGGGGAGGCGUUACUCGCAGAAGAAGCACCGGCUAACUCCGUGCCAGCAGCCGCGGUAAUUC